ACAUGGUUGCUAAGAUGUAACACUUUAUCUUGUUAUCUUCGUCCAUCCAUUUCUCAAGUGUAGCUCGUUGAUCAGCGGAUGGAUGAACAGAUAACACAGAUACUUCCUGAUUAAAGACAUAGGUGAGUUUCUCGAGGUUGAGAAUAAUUCUCAGAUUUCAGAGUCAGUCUUUGUAAUUAGUGCUAGUCAACCUAUUUGUAUCGAGGAUUCGGGAUAAGGGGUUUAAACUUGAC
rnacentral:lncRNA from 1 species